CCCGGUCCCCUGUGCGCCAGAGUACGACAGUCGACGCCGGCCGUCCCGAGCGUGCAGUCGUGGGAGCUGUCGUCGUCUUCGUCGUCGUCGUCGACGAUCUCGCGCGUGAUCGUGUUUUCUCUUUCGAACCGAGGAUCACCAACCUUAUCACCUUGCCGUCUCGAGGUCGUGCUCGUAUCGUGUCGCAUUUUUCACGAUCCCUCGUCGAAUGAAUAAAUAAAUAAUUGAAUAGAUCGAGGAGGGAGGAAGUUUGGAUCGCCGUUGGAUCGAUGACAACGCGUGUCGCGUAUCGGUUUCGUGAUGGUUGCGCGUGAUCUGUGACUGGUAUUAGGAUGAGGGACGUGAUCUUCUAUAAAAUCUUGACCUAGAGGGGAACAAGUGCGGUCGAAGCACGGUGGAAUCGGAUCAUCGGAUCGAAUCGUGUGAGCUGGCCGAUAUUGAUGAUCCGCGUUUCGAUGGAAGGUGGUGGUCCGGAAGGGUCUUAUGGAGAACGUUCCCGGUGGAUGCUGAUCGACGGUGUUGCCGAUAAGUCGGUUUUAGAUCCGAGCGGGCGUGCGUGCGCGGAGGGGGGGCGACGUUUCUGUGGAUCGUUUCGCGAGUGGAAGGACGACCUUGAGAGUUCGGGGGAGGAGAGGAGGGACUCUGUUGGUGUGUCUGUUCGUUGCGGAUGCGGAUCUUACGCGGGUCGUGAUUGUGACAACGAGUUGGCCAAUUUGCAGCCGAGAAUGCUGGUGCUUGUUAAAAGGAGGAGGGAAACGGGUUUCAAUCUUGUGACGAGGAUGGCGGCAGUCUUUGUUAUCGCGUGCCUCCUGCUGAUGGACACUCGGCCGACGUCUGCUGCCUUUAACAAUGUUACAGUCGUUUCAGUUACCACCGUCCCGGAUCCUGAGUUCGUUGAUGAAAUAGGAAAUAUCACAGUCCCAGCAGGACGUAACGUGAAAUUAGCCUGCAGUGUUAAGGAUUUGGGACCGUACAAGGUGGCUUGGAUGCUUUUCGACAAGAGUGCCAUCCUGACAGUACAAAGUCACGUUAUUACCAGGAACCCUAGGAUAUCCGUGACCCAUGAUAAGCACAGGACCUGGUUCCUACAUAUCAAAGAUGUUCGGGAGGAUGACAAGGGAAAGUACAUGUGCCAGAUUAAUACGGCAACCGCGAAAACCCAAUAUGGCUAUCUGCACGUCGUGGUGCCUCCUAAUAUAGAGGACUACCAGACCUCGUCAGACGUCAUUGUGCGAGAAGGCGCGAACGUGACGCUAACGUGCAAAGCGACAGGAAGCCCUAAACCGAGCAUAAGUUGGAAAAGAGACGAUGGCUCGAUGAUUUCAAUUAACAAGACUUAUUCCGUGAUGGAAUGGGAAGGCGAGAUGCUGGAAAUCACACGUAUCUCGAGACUGGACAUGGGCGUUUAUUUAUGCAUCGCGACAAAUGGCGUCCCUCCUACUGUUAGCAAGCAGAUCAGAGUCUCGGUUGAUUUCCCCCCUAUGCUCUGGAUACCGCACCAAUUGGUCGGUGCACCCUUGGACCAUUCAGUCACGUUGGAAUGCUACACCGAGGCUCAUCCAACUUCUUUGAAUUACUGGACCAGGGAGGAUGGCCUGAUGAUUCAGGGUAGCAACAAAUACAAGACCACCUCCACGCCGGAGAAACCCUCGUACAAGACGCAUAUGACGUUAACGAUACACGAUCUACAGGAGGAGGAUUACGGUAGCUACAAGUGCGUCGCGAAAAAUCCACGUGGAGAGACAGACGGCACCAUUCGCCUGUACAGUCCACGCUUCCUCACGGUUGAAUUAAUUGCGGCCCACGGACGCUGGUUCGUUAGUGCUGUGGAAAGUAAAUUCGUUAAAUAUCUCGUUCUCGCGGGGUACGUUGUUGCGCCGCCGCAAAAUACGGGCAACACCGGUAUUCUUCGUCCCAGCUUCGUGAAAAAAUGUUGGAUUAAAGUGUACUGGACGGAAAGAUACUCGUGGAAACUUUGUAAUUAUUGCUUUUUUUUCUUCUUUUUUGUUUUUUUCUUUUGGUUAUUACAGAUAUCGGUAAUUUUAACGGCGAUAAGAGAUGAUGAUAAAUCUCGAAUGACGAAUGAAUUUUCUCUGCGUUUGAUAUUUGAAGAAUUGAUAUAUAUUGUUAAAUAUUGGAGGACUUAAGAAGAAAUUUUGAAUAGCGAUAAAUUAUUAAUUUUUUAUUUGAAGUUUUGGAGAAAAUUAAUUAUAGAAAAGUUGAUAUUAUGAUUGGAUUGAAGAUAAGUUAUUAAUCUAAAACAAUAUUUGAUCAUUUAUUGUGUUUUUCUAUUCUCUAGAUAUAAAUAGUGAGAAAUGGAUUGUAAAAUUUUAUUUAUCGUUAAUUUAACUUUUUAUAUAUUAUUGUAAAUUCGUUAAUAUUCACAAACGGUGGUUCAAUAUUUGCAAUGAAAUUUUGUUUUCAUUAAUAUUAAACGAUGAAUUAAUUAAAGGUAGGUUUAUUACGAUCAUGAUUAUGCGAUUACUUAUUAGAUAACACGAUAAUUAAUCAUACAUAUGUAUUCUGUUAAAAUAAUUUCAACAGCAAUAGCCAGUUAAUAGCCUCUGUUUAUCAAAAAUCAUUUAAAAAUUGAACUAAUGGAAAAUAUAACAUUAAUAUUGCAACGAAUAUUUUGAAAUUUUAUUUUUUAUCGGAAAAGCAGAAAGAAUAAAUUUUUAUAUUUUUCAAAUGUUUCGAAUUGCUAUGAAAUACUUUAAAUAAAAAAUACUAAUUAGGAAAUAGAUAUAACUUAUUGAAACAAAACUCUUUCAUUCAACACUUCCUAUUAUUUUCUAAUUAUUUAAAUAUUUUUGUAGAAUAAGACUUACUUUUAACUAAACUAACAUAUUAAUAAAUUAUUUCCUAUCGUGGAAAAAUUGAACGAGUAAAUGAAAUAAAAAUUAAAAAACAAAAAUAACUGAUGGCGAUAAUUUAAGAUCGCUAAAAUCCAGGAAGGAAAAGAAAAUAAUGGUCGUAGGAAAUUUGACAAAAUGGAAUAAACAAAACUACGAAAGGAAUACGCUCGUACCACCGGCUCAAUAAAGAUCAAUCCAAACAAAGCUCGAAGAGAGUCGGAACAACCGUUCCAGAAAGCGGUUUCGAUUUACAACCACUGAACUUCGUGCAUCGCUACUAACCGAUAAACCAGCGCCGAAACGGCUACGGGACUGCUGUAAAUCCACUAAACCAUUGUCUCGAAUAUCGAAGGAAGAGAAAGGCCGUGGAAGGAAGGAAAGACCGAAAUCACGAAGAAACCAUCGAAAGUACAUAAAACGUCAAACUAUUACGAGUGAAAAUAAUCUUCCAUUAACCUUCCAUCGUUGACCAUUUAAAAUUUUGCUCUAACUUAAACGUUAAAGAAAGAAUGAAAAGUUAAUAAAACUUUUAGGGUUGAUUUCAUACUUUCAAAGUGAUACAGCAUAUAAAAAUUUAUUGGUUCAGAAAUGGGAUCGAGAUGAAUGGAUUGAAAUUGAAAAUAGACAGAUGAUCAAACAAGAAAUUACAAAUUCUUUUUACAAUAUAGCUUUAAAUGAAAUUUAUCAUUUGUUGUCAUAAUCUUUUUAAUAUUCAUCACGAUUAGACUGUAAAAAAAAAUUCCAAAUUUCACAGGAUCUAUUUAACAUUAAUGAAUAAAUGGAAGUUUUAUUUAUAUAUUCCAUUUUAUUAAGAUAUAUUCGUAAAAAAUAUUAAUUAUCAUUGAACAUCAUCAUAAACACUUUCAACUAACUUCAAUGAUUAAUUUUUUACCAAGAACAAAUUCUUUUCACAAUUUUCUACAAACAUCUCCACCUUAUGCUGAAAAUCUUAAUAACUCCCAAGUCCAAGUACCUGCCUGGCGGCCGCAAAAAUAAAAGACCGCCCCCCAUUUAAGGGCGAAAAGAAAACGGAAACAACACGGAAUGGGGGCGGUGCGCGCGUGGCAUGGUACAAAAACCUCGGCUCAUCCCUCCCGGGUAAAGCAUCGAGAGCAGCUCAUUAAAGCCAGAAGGAUCGUAUCUAUCCGGUCUAAUUAAAAGCCACUCAAACACGGGGGAAGGGGAGGGGAGCGAUCAACCGCGACGUUUAUUGGCGCGAGAGCUCAAUCACGAAAGGGUCGACGAGGACGGAUGAGCUCGAGUCGCUUCUGGCACGCAUCCACGUCUCUUCCCACGUGUCCCGUGAGACUUCUUCGACCUUCCAUCCUCGACUUGUCUGCGUCACACUUGGAUGGAAUGGAUGGUGAUAAAGAAGAGUGCAAAGAGAGUUGUCGAAAAGAGAAAGGACGAGUUUGGUUGAACGAUUAGUAAUAAAAUAGAAAAGGAAGAAGGAGAUUGAGGUUAAAGAAGAUAAAAGAAGAGAGGAAUGUUUAGCAGAGUGAAAAGUGUUAAAGAAAGAGUAUUCAAGUGAAUUCCUUAAAAGUUAUUAAAAGUAGAGAAAUAUAGGGGAAAAAGAUAGGGAAGAACUUUUUUCAUUUUUAACUAAAGUACAGAUAAAUAGUGUGUUAUCAAGAAUAUACAUAUACAAAAAGGAAGAAAGAAAUAAAAAGAUAAAAUUAAUGAAAACUAGAAAGGAUAAGAAAAAGAAGGAAAUGGAGUAGAAAAAAAUGUACUACAAUUACAUGUACAAUUAGUGUUAAAAAAAAGGAGCAAAAUAUACCAAAGUUUAUGUUGGAUAAAUUAAAAAAGUAAAAUGAAAAGAUAAGAUGGAAAGAGAGAAGGAUACAAAAGAAUAAAGAAUAGAUUAGAAGGAAAACGAAAACACAAAGGAUAGAAAGGCGAGGAAUCACUUGUAUAAUUCAUGGUACCACUCUAAGUGGUUAGUGAUCCACGUUUCAGUGCUCCCUGACCCCUCCAGGUUCCAGUAGAGCUUGUACCAUAGCUCUACGGCAUCUCAAUGCUGACCGACCGACAGAUUAGCCCCAGGAAAUUGCCAAACUUCUCGUCGCUCCGGUGGAAAAGUCGAUUCCAAAAGUCGUUCCUCAAGCGGCCAGUUUCAACCUCCGCAGACUUUCUAUUUGGUUUCCUCAAGACGGCCAACGAUGGGACACCAGAAACUGUCUCUUAAAUUAAUGCUUCCUGAAACGAUCUCUUUUCUUCUAGUUUUUCUUUCUAUUACCAUUUGCUUUAUUCUAUUUUUUGUUUCUAUUUUAUUUUUUUUUAGUUUUUAUAUUGAUUGUAGAAAAUAUACGAAAUAUAUUUAUCGAUAUUGUGAUAAUUAAAUUAAUUAAUUAUAUUAUAUAAUUUUAUAUAUAUAUAUAUAUAUAUAUAUAUAUAUAUAUAUAUAUAUAUAUAACUUUAUAUAAGAAAAAUUAUUAUUUGCCAAUUUUAUUUCAUUGAAAUACAUAUAAUAUAAAAUGUGUGAAGAAAUAUUGAAAAUUAUUUGUUCAACGAAAAAUUUAAAAAAAUCGUUUAAAUUGAAUUUAGAUUUCGUAAAAAUUAAAACUUGCAGAUAAAAAAAAUGGUAAAAAGAAAGUUUCUACUACACGAGAAAAAUAAUUGUUUCUCUUUCUUUUUUUUCCCCCAUCAAUUAAUCGGAUCGAUAAAUCUUUAAAUAAAUCGUUUUUAAAAGAAGAAAUUGGAAAAAUCAUAUUAGAAGAUUAUCUAUCGGACAAACGAACAAAUAAAGAAAAUAAAAAGAAUAUAAUAUCCUUUCAUGAAAAGUUAAGUUAAUAAUUUUUAAUAAAAUAAUUAAUCUCUUCUUUAUUUACAGAUUAUAAUAAUUUUACUUUUUUGCAGUUUACAAUCAAUCCUUGCUUUCCACAAUUUUUAGAAAUUUUCAAAUCUCGACCAGGGCGUUCCAUUCUUAUUAAAAAAACGAAAUCCAAAUCAUCCUGCAAUUCGGGGCGAGCAAACAAUAACGGAUUUCGAAUUUUGGCGAGUCUAUUAAAUCGGAAGCUCCAUUGUCGUUUCCUCGAAGGCGUCGUGGCUGAGGAUCUUAUGGAAAUAUUUUCUCCACCCAUCUCGUGAAGAUCUUUUUAACGGGACGCUUCCGCACCCCCUUUAAUCGUAUUACCGAACGUACAGACAUAUUUCCAUUCCUGGAGCUGCUCAGUGCCAAUUGGACCAGCCACGACUUUUCGAAAUUUCUUUUUUUCUCUCUCUCUUUCUCUCUUUCUCUCGAAUUCGCCUUUCUUUCUUUCGUUUUCCCAUUCGUCGUCUUACCUCGACUUUAACUUCAGUAUUUCGACGAAGAAUGAGAGGAUUAUAUUGGCAAGCCUUCCUCGUAUUGGCUUUCGUGUUUUCUUAGAAUUAAGAAUGGAAUGUUUAUGGUAAUUGUUGAAUAUCGAAUCGCGAUGUAUAAGUAAGGUCUUUUUUUUUGUUGAGAUGAAUAAAAGAAGGGAAAUAUUAAAUGAUGGAACAUCGAAUUGCGAUAAUUCUUAAUUGCGUUAAGUUUUCUUAAUGAAAAAAAAAUUCAGAGAAAAAAAUGGCAGAAAAAAAUAAUAGAAUUAAAAAUUAUUCGAGAGAGAGGCAAAUUCGAAAGAUAUAAUUUUUUAUGUGAAAGUCUUUGUGGUAUCGUUAAAAAGAUUUCAAGAAAAUUUAAUUUUUGUAAUGGAAACUACGUAACAUAAUUAAAAAACGUAAUUAGAAACUGGACAUAAAAACUGCAUGUGCUAAAUAAAAAUUUUUUGGUUAGUCAAUUGGUAAUUUAUAAAUUAAAUUAAUAUCACAGAAAUAUCAAACAUUUAAUUUCGUUUUUUUUUAUUUUGUAUUUAAAUACUUCAUUUUAUUACGAAAAUAUAAAGAUAUUUUUCUAUAACGAAAUAAUUUUCCUACAUAGAAUUCUCAAAAGCUAUUUUUUUUCUGAGUAAAUUUAAAUAUAUAUAUUUUACGUAUUCUUUUAUUGUUAUCUCUAAAAUUUCAAACAAAUUUUUAAAAUUUAUCUUAAAACAUUUUUAUUUCGUACAAAUUGGUUUUCAUCUUAUUUGAAAUAAUAAAUUAUCUUUCAUUCGAUAAUAAAAAAAUUCAAUCCUAUUCUAUAAGAAGAUCCAGAUUCAUAAAAUCAGAAUCUUCUUCAAAACUAAUUUCUCGUAGUACGUAGAAUUGGUAAGAGGAAACGUCAAACUGAGCAACAUUUCCUCUUUAACAUGCGCGCAUUGAGGGGUGGAACGAACCAUGAUUCAACCCGAGGCGUAUCCAAAGCUAAACAACCAGCCGGUGUUUCCUCGACAUGUCGAGUUUCCUAUAACACCACGGAAUUAUGAAUCCAAAUUCGUUGCGCAAACUCGGUUCGCGUGGAAACAAUGCAACUGUACACAAAUCUGCCAUUCACUGUCAAAGAUCUUGAUCCACGUGAAGAUUUUAUCGAAUUAUUACAUAGUUGUUCCAUUCCCUCGUUUCUUGUUUUCUCUAUUUGUCAAAAAUGUAAAAUAUUAUUUGAGAAAGUUGUCAGAGAUGCACUUGAUAGACAGACUGUUCUGUUAUUUGAUUAUCACAUCUCUUUAAGAAAUUGAAAUAUUUCAUAUAAGAUUUUUAAAAAUUUUUUAAUAAUGUUCUUUUAAAACUAAUAAAAAUAUUAUUAUUAAGUUAUCUAUGAAUCUAUUAAAAAUGAUUAAUUUUUAAUAGAUUCAUGAAUGAAAUAUACAAAAAAAUUUAUCAAUAAGGUUCAAGAAAUAAAAAUAUCUAUCAUAUAAUUUACCUUAAAAUUCGAUUAAACUCUAUUAAAAUUAAGAAAAAUUUAAACCACUAUAACUCGGAAGAUAAUGACUUCCGGUCAAUGAAUGAAAGAUCAUAAGAAGCGCGGAACCUUGCCCUUUAAAAUGCUUUUUCAUUUAUCCCGAUACGACUUCCGGUUCCCGAGAUAUCAUCGUGUAAAGAGAAAGGUAAUUUUUUAAUCGUUUACUAUCUGCAUCCUUGUUCCGUACUCGGACCUCUCGUUCGCUCCUCGUCUCACUGACCUAUCCCAAAUUCCAGACAAGUGGCAGACGCGAUUCCUAGAAAAACGUAGUAAGCAUUUCCAGGAAAUAAUGUAGGUCACGGUUUCAUUCAUAAUCCCUGCACCGUCUUAAGCGCUAUGGACAUUUUGACUCUUUAUAUCUCGGCAACCGUUUGAGAUAUCGAGAUAAAACAAAAAAGGAUUUCAAUGGCACGCUUUUCUCUAUUUUUCCAAUAAGUUUCAAUGACAAAAUUUUCAAUUUUUUUUCACAUUUCUUACAUGAAAAUUCGAAGAUUUAUUUCAUUAAAUAAAUGUGAUAGUCUCUCAUUUUUAAAUAACAUAGAGAAAAUUGAACGUAGCAUUGAUUAUUACCAUUUUUUUGACUUUUAUUCGUCUUCCUUAUUAAGUUACGAUACCACUAACCAAAUUCAUUGCAGUGAAUCUUGAAGCCGAAAAGCAUACGAUCAGGAACGAUCGACGAAAAUUACAAAACGAGUAAUCGUUAAGGGCUAUUACGGGGGAUAAAGCGACUCUCGUAGAUGGCGCGCGUAUCGAAACGUGCAGGAGGAAUGGCGCAAUUAUAAGAAUUGCCGGUACAAAGAGCAAUUCAGACGAGGGCAAAGACGAAUAAAAUUUCUUCUCUCGCGACGCGAAAAGAAGAAAGGCCGUAAGUUAACGCACGAACGAACGGCUACGAAAUGGGAGUCAAACGAUCGUUUGAACUCGUACGAAACAACAAUUACGAGACAGUCAACGUUGUAUGUUCUCCGUCUAGAUAUUUCGUUGUUAUUCAACAUUUUCUCAUGAAAUUUUAUCAUUUAUAGAUACGUCGCAACUAAUAUUGCUCUAACAUUAUCUAUGAUAUAAUGUUGGCAUAGUCAAUUUAAAAAUGUGUUCUUAUUGAAGCAACGAGCAAAUUUUUGUUGACUAAUUAUCGUCACGAUGAGAAAGUAAAAAUCAGUAAUCAAUUUAUUAAUUAUUUAAUUAUGGUAUAUUAAUGGAAUCUUGCAUUGCAUCGAGAGAAUACUUAAUUUUAUUUUAUUAUAUCGCAAAAUAGUUACAAAUAUAAAAUAAAUUUACAUUUACAUGUACAAUACGAAAAAAUCGUAAGUAAAAUAGAAUUUCUUCAUUUUUUAUUUUUAAUUUAUUAGAAAUAUAUUCAAAGGGAAAAUGAGUAAGGAAGUAGAAUGAAGGAUAAAAGUAUUUCAAUUUUUUUUGUGGUAAUUGAACAUUUUUAUUUUUAUUUUAUUUUUUGAACGAAAUAUUAUAUUUUCCAUUUUUCUUUUCAUUUCUAUAGUUACAAAAUCUUUGAUAUGAUAUAGCAAAUUUUUUUAAAAGAAAGUUUCUUAUAGUUGUACAGUUUAUUUGAUAUUCGAACCUCAGAGUGCAUACAUGGCGUCAAGUAAUCAGAACGAGUAAUUAUUUCAACAUGAAUUAUAACUUGUUACGAACGUUUUGAAUCUGAAUUUUUAACAUCUAAUUUAUUAGUAAUUAAUUUGUUAUAUUUCCUGUUACAUCCAUACGGUUUGUAUAAAUUUUUUACCAUAUUUCAUUAUUAUAAACAGCUUCAAAUAAAUAAAAAAAUAAUAUAUUUUGUAUUUUGUGACAGAUGGAUUGAUCAAGUGAUAAUUUUCUAUAUGAUAUAGUAAUGCAAAUAUAUCAUAAUUUUAAUAUACAAAUAUAAUAAAUGUUAAACGAUAGAAAAAUGAAAUUACAAGAAAUUUUUAAUAUGAAAUUAAUAAUGGAUAGAUACCAUGCAUUCAAAUUAAUUAAUUUCAUUUUACUGACUCUUUGUAUCUUUUUUUUUAGAUCUCUCCCGAGAUAAACUGUUAUUUUUCUAUUUAUUAGCGCUGAUUUUCAUUGGAAAAUUUUGAGAGACUUUCGUGUAUCUUUUAAUAGGAUAUUUUUUAAACAUUUGAAACAAAAAAUUAUAUUUUUGGAAGAGAGCGAAAUUUCAUAAGAUACAAUAUAAAGAGCCUUCCAAAAUAGAAAACAGAGUAUAUAAUUAGAAAUGAAAUAAUGAAAAAAUAGCAAAUAAUAUUUCCUGUCAAUGUGUCAGAGUAAAAAAGUAAGUAUGUAAAACAGGUAAGCAGAUAAUUUUUUUUUUGUAGUUACAAAAGAUACAUCGCAAAAAGUGUAUAAAAGGUAAGUAUAAAAUAUAGUAGUUAGUUAUUAUAAUUAAAAUUAAGUAAAAUGAUGAAAAAAUGAAAAAUUUUCUACCAAUGCAUCAACUUAAACAGGUAAGUAUAAAAGGUAAGUAUCAGGUAAGUAUGAGGUAAGUAUUAGUUUCAAAAAUUUUUAUAUAUUACUUCUAUUUUCCUAAUAAAAAAUCAUAAAUCAAGACAAAAAUUUUUUAGAAUUCGACUUUAUAUUAGGAGAACAUAAAUAAAAGGAGUUUUUAUACAGGAUUUAUAAAAGAGAAUGUUGUUUUUUUAAAUGAAACUACAUUUUGACUUUGUUGAACGUAUACAAUCAACGGCAGCAAAGAGUGAUUUCAAUAUUCAUUGGUGUUAUGAGAAUUUCAUUCAAUAUCGAUUAAUGAAAAAAGCUAGAGAUGUUAGAGAACAAUUAGUUGAUCUCAUGCAACGAGUUGAGAUGGAACUCGUAUCAGGAAUUAUGGAAUCAAUAAAUAUCCGAAAGAAUAAUAAAUAUCAUCAUCUUUUUUCAUUUUUUUAAAAACUAAUUUAUUUUUAUUUUUAAGAAUAACAUAAAAAAAAUAAGAGAAACGAACUUAAAAAAUUGAAUUGAUUGAAUUUUAGGCUAUAACAUUAAAAUAUUUCUAUCAUGUAGCACGAUUAUCAAAAGGGGGACAAUACAACUGCAAAAUAAUCAGAUAGAUACAAUUCAUCCUAAUAACUCAUUGUUUGAAGAGCUGCCACGUUGCACUAUCAUGAACUGAUUUUUAUUAUUUAUAUACAAAAGAAUUUAUGCGACAGAUAACAGCAAUCGAGAGUUAAGUGGCUUUUAGAGAUAGCUGCCCAUUAUUACAAAGCAAAAGAAUUGGAGGAGGAUUCUACAAAUAAAACAAAAGGCCAAACAUCGUAGGAAGAUCGUGUCCAGACAGAACUAAUUAAUAACUCAAAUAGAUUAUAAGUAGUAUAAUAUAUAGCAUAUAGUAUAGAUUAUAGAUUAUAGUUUAUAGAAAUAAAUUGUAACCAUAACUUUUGUAACUAGUUUUUAAGAUGUAUAAAAUAUAAAGAUAAGAUAUUUGUAUUUUAUAAUGUACAAAACACAAUAUAUCAUACACACAUUUGUAACCAAUUAA